rnacentral:rRNA from 1 species
UACGUAGGGGGCAAGCGUUGUCCGGAUUUAUUGGGCGUAAAGCGCGUGUAGGCGGCUUAGCAAGUCGGGCGUGAAAGCCCUCGGCUCAACCGGGGAAGUGCACCCGAAACUGCAAAGCUAGAGUCUCGGAGAGGAUCGUGGAAUUCCCGGUGUAGUGGUGAAAUGCGCAGAUAUCAGGAGGAACACCAAUGGCGAAGGCAGCUUGCUGGGACGGUACUGACGCUGAGACGCGAAAGCGUGGGGAGCAAACAGG